GGAGAGAUGCUCGAGUGGUUGAAGAGGCACGCCUGGAAAGCGUGUAUACGCCAAAAGCGUAUCCGGGGUUCGAAUCCCCGUCUCUCCG
rnacentral:tRNA from 31 species